rnacentral:rRNA from 1 species
GACGAACGCUGGCGGCGUGCUUAACACAUGCAAGUCGAGCGGUAAGGCUCCUUCGGGAGUACACGAGCGGCGAACGGGUGAGUAACACGUGAGUAAUCUGCCCUUCACUUCGGGAUAACCGCCGGAAACGGUGGCUAAUACCGGAUACGACACAGUCUCGCAUGAGAUCUGCGUGGAAAGUUUUCUCGGUGGAGGAUGUGCUCGCGGCCUAUCAGCUUGUUGGUGAGGUAACGGCUCACCAAGGCUUCGACGGGUAGCCGGCCUGAGAGGGUGACCGGCCACACUGGGACUGAGACACGGCCCAGACUCCUACGGGAGGCAGCAGUGGGGAAUAUUGGACAAUGGGCGAAAGCCUGAUCCAGCAACGCCGCGUGAGGGAUGACGGCCUUCGGGUUGUAAACCUCUUUCAGUACCGACGAAGCGCCAUCAACGGCGGUGACGGUAGGUACAGAAGAAGGACCGGCCAACUACGUGCCAGCAGCCGCCGUAAAAC